rnacentral:rRNA from 1 species
GAAAAAGAACCUGAAACCGUGUACGUACAAGCAGUGGGAGCCCCACCACUAAGCCAGUGGUGAACUCCACAUACGCAUCCUUUGCUGAAGGCAAUGGUUAACGGAGCGAAAGCGACGUUCAACCGCAAAACAAGCAGAGGGGGCUUAGUGGUGGGGUGACUGCGUACCUUUUGUAUAAUGGGUCAGCGACUUAUAUUCUGUAGCAAGGUUAACCGUAUAGGGGAGCCGGAGGGAAACCGAGUCUUAAUUGGGCGUUAAGUUGCAGGGUAUAGACCCGAAACCCGGUGAUCUAGCCAUGGGCAGGUUGAAGGUUGGGUAACACUAACUGGAGGACCGAACCGACUAAUGUUGAAAAAUUAGCGGAUGACCUGUGGCUGGGGGUGAAAGGCCAAUCAAACCGGGAGAUAGCUGGUUCUCCCCGAAAGCUAUUUAGGUAGCGCCUCGUGAAUUCAUCUCCGGGGGUAGAGCACUGUUUCGGCUAGGGGGCCAUCCCGGCUUACCAACCCGAUGCAAACUGCGAAUACCGGAGAAUGUUAUCACGGGAGACACACGGCGGGUGCUAACGUCCGUCGUGAAGAGGGAAACAACCCAGACCGCCAGCUAAGGUCCCAAAGUCAUGGUUAAGUGGGAAACGAUGUGGGAAGGCCCAGACAGCCAGGAUGUUGGCUUAGAAGCAGCCAUCAUUUAAAGAAAGCGUAAUAGCUCACUGGUCGAGUCGGCCUGCGCGGAAGAUGUAACGGGGCUAAACCAUGCACCGAAGCUGCGGCAGCGAACGUAUCACUUAAAGCGAUUCAGCGGGUUACGAUUGACGGAGCGAAGCGACGUCAAAGCGUAUACAAAGUCGAGUCGGUUUAAGGAUACGUUCGUUGGGUAGGGGAGCGUUCUGUAAGCCUGCGAAGGUGGCCUGUGAGGGUUGCUGGAGGUAUCAGAAGUGCGAAUGCUGACAUAAGUAACGAUAAAGCGGGUGAAAAGCCCGCUCGCCGGAAGACCAAGGGUUCCUGUCCAACGUUAAUCGGGGCAGGGUGAGUCGACCCCUAAGGCGAGGCCGAAAGGCGUAGUCGAUGGGAAACGGGUUAAUAUUCCCGUACUUGGUGUUACUGCGAAGGGGGGACGGAGAAGGCUAUGUUGGCCGGGCGACGGUUGUCCCGGUUUAAGCGUGUAGGCUGGUUUUCCAGGCAAAUCCGGAAAAUCAAGGCUGAGGCGUGACGACGAGGCACUACGGUGCUGAAGCAACAAAUGCCCUGCUUCCAGGAAAAGCCUCUAAGCAUCAGGUAACAC